AUGCAUGUCUAAGUCCUAGCCGGGUGAGUUGCUUGCUUCUCACUCGGUGWAACCGCGGACGGCUCAUUAAAUCAGUCGUGGUCCACAGGGCCUAGAGUUGUCUACUUGGAUAACUGUGGUAAUUCUAGAGCUAAUACAUGCAACUGAAUGCUCGAUCGGUUUGUUAGUUGGGAGCAAUCCCUUCUAGCUGUCGUGACGGCUGCUUUUAUUAGACCAAAACGCCCCGGGGGUCUCGUACCCUCUUCCCGUGUUGUGGUGACUCUGGAUAACACUGACAAGCGAACGUAUCCAUUUUAAUGGGACGGCGCUGGCUCCUACGAGCGUCUGCCUUAUCAGCUAUGAAUCGUUAGUUAUGUGCUAACGAUGGCUUUGACGGGUAACGGGRAAUCAGAGUUCGAUUCCGGAGAGGCAGCCUGAGAAACGGCUACCACG
rnacentral:rRNA from 1 species